rnacentral:rRNA from 1 species
UACGUAGGGGGCAAGCGUUGUCCGGAAUCAUUGGGCGUAAAGCGCGUGUAGGCGGCCCGAUAAGUCCGCUGUGAAAGUCCAGGGCUCAACCCUGGGAUGCCGGUGGAUACUGUCGGGCUCGAGUCCGGAAGAGGAGUGUGGAAUUCCUGGUGUAGCGGUGAAAUGCGUAGAGAUCAGGAGGAACACCCAUGGCGAAGGCAGCUCUCUGGUCGACCUCUGACGCUGAGACGCGAAAGCGUGGGGAGCGAACGGG